UACGAAGGAUCCAAGCGUUAUCCGGAUUUAUUGGGUUUAAAGGGUGCGUAGGCGGCUUUGUAAGUCAGUGGUGAAAUAUGGCAGCUCAACUGUCAAGGUGCCAUUGAUACUGCGGAGCUUGAGUACAGAUGAGGUAGGCGGAAUUGACGGUGUAGCGGUGAAAUGCUUAGAUAUCGUCAAGAACACCUAUAGCGAAGGCAGCUUACUAGGCUGUAACUGACGCUGAGGCACGAAAGUGUGGGGAUCAAACAGG
rnacentral:rRNA from 1 species